GAUGAACGCUGGCGGCGUGCCUAACACAUGCAAGUCGAGCGGGUUUACAAAAGUGCUUGCACUUUUGUAAACUAGCGGCGGACGGGUGAGUAACACGUGGGUAACCUGCCCUUCACAGGGGGAUAACAAUGAGAAAUCAUUGCUAAAACCCCAUACGCUCACGGUUCCGCAUGUGACAGUGAGAAAAUAUUUAUAGGUGAAGGAGGGGCCCGCGUCUGAUUAGCUAGUUGGCGGGGUAACGGCCCACCAAGGCGACGAUCAGUAGCCGACCUGAGAGGGUGAUCGGCCACAUUGGGACUGAGACACGGCCCAAACUCCUACGGGAGGCAGCAGUGGGGAAUAUUGCACAAUGGGCGCAAGCCUGAUGCAGCAACGCCGCGUGAAGGAUGAAGGGUUUCGGCUCGUAAACUUCUUUAGGCAGGGAAGAAACAAAUGACGGUACCUGCAGAAUAAGCCCCGGCUAACUACGUGCCAGCCGCCGCAGUAAUAC
rnacentral:rRNA from 1 species